UCAGCUGCAUUGGAUUCGGUAAAAGUUUUAUUUCAAGUUUUGAGCUACAGUGUUUAAUCUUUUUCCUUCAAAUAUGAAAGACUACUGUUUGACAUUCAUCCCUAUAUUUUAUUGUCGUUUUAAUGAACAACGGAUUUAUUUUAUUUCGUUUCUCUCUCCUUUCCCUCCCCGCGUCUUUCUUCCCCCCUUUCUCUCUUUCUCUCGUUCCAUCGAUCGAGCACAGAAGCCUGUGGCUUCUUCUCCUUCACGCAAAAUCGGAACAAAAUCCAUGGUUUCUCUCCUCAAAUCAGAGUGACUCCUUCAGCACUUGGCGCGACAGUUUUCUCCUUCAGGUGCACUCAAUCUUGCUUUUGGCUCUAGCAAGCACACAGAUUCUGGUAUUGUAUUUUCUGGAUCCAUAACAUCUGAAAACCAACUCAUGUGUGCUUAUAACAUUUAGUAUUGAUUCUUUCUGGUAUGAGAUUGCUAUUCAUGCAAAUAAAUGGUAAACCUGUUUAAGACUUUAAAAAAUAAAAAUGUUAUAGUUGAAAUGUACUUCAAAGAUUGCUAUUUAUGUAGAAUUUCAGAUUUAAGUAGAAUUUCAAUGAGGUGUUCUAUUUUUAUGAGUCAAAAAGUACAAGUGAGGUGGUACUGUUCUGUUUUUAUUAGUAAAAAAUCUCUAUGAGGUGGUACUGUUUUUGUGUCUUAGUAGCAGAUUUAAGUUCAGAUUUUCAGACUUAAAUUCUCAAAAGUGUUCUGUUUUUUCUUACUGUUUGUGUGUCUUACUAGCAGAUUUUUUCGUGUCAAGUAGAGUCAUAUACUGCUAUAUAUGCUGAUGUUAAAAGCUUGAAAUGUACUGUCUUGUUUAUUGUGCUGCGUUGUAUGUGCUGCAUUGUCUGACAACUUAAUAAUUAUAAUUCUCCUAGGAUGGACAAUCUGUUGGAUGAGGACCCAUUCUUCACCACUCUCUUACAAAGUGGAGGAGAAGGUCCUAUUACCACUCCAACAU